GACCGGUGAUGCUAGAAAAUAUUUGCUACUCUUGAUGGGAAUCGCCCAUUUGAUGAUUCUUAUCCACCAAGAUCUCUGAGGCU
rnacentral:snoRNA from 2 species